GGCUCAGAGAUACGUGACCUUCGCGAGUGGAGAAUGCAUGACAGGAACUUCACAGGAAGAGAAAAGGUCAGCCAACGGGAACAUGAGAGUGCCAACAGAGCUAAAAGAAAACAUCGAGCCAUGGAAAGGGGGACGUGAGCAGGUGAGAGUCGCGGAGGAGUGAGUCAGAGCCAACGAGUGUGUCGGCGGAUUUAGUCGAGUGACAUCUGACUUGAGUCGAUCACAAGCAGCCUCUUCGCUCCGUCCGGCGCUGGACGGACUUCGUGACCGCUGCUUGUGUCCAGUCUGCAGAACAUGCACACAAACAAAGGUGGAUCGGCACAGAACAUCACGAACACCCGGCGUGAACAGGCGCGAUGAACAAAGGCCUGGGAACAGACAAGCACAGUGACUUCCUGUGAAAUCAUACCUGUUACAUAACUCCCACUGCAGCCUCUCUGUUUGUGCGUUCGGCCGCUGCUGUGUUUGUUCCGACUGAGGAGAAACUGGAGCGCGGAGUGACCAGCGGACGGGUGAAUGAAGGAGCUUUAACCUGGACCUCCGCUCAGGACAGGGUUUUAAACAUUUGCGUAUUAAAUUCUUGUGUCUGUUGUGUUCAGACGCUGCCUCCUUCUUUUUCUAUUCUGAUUGGUACCAUUCUCUGUCUGUUUAGUUGUUUUGGUUCAU